rnacentral:lncRNA from 1 species
AGAUAAGCCACUGCUCUUACUAGAACACUGGGAGGAGAAAGCUGAUGUAGGAAAGAUGCCGAGGCUCUCGGAAGAAACCCCGCAGGCUUCAGUUAAAUGCCUGCUGGGACAUCCUACAGAUGAGCAGUUACUUAACCAGAGCAUCUUAGCUGUGUAAGCGCCUGAGCUGAGCUUCCGGAACAUGUCCUUGUCUUCUGUCUUUGGAUAAAUGUUUUUGGGAGCCAAUAUCUUUCCCACAAGGUUCAGAUUCUGCAGGACGUGACCCAUCUACGUGCUACAUCAGCCAUAAGUUUCUAAUUCCUCCAGCAGUGACCCUGAAAUCCCCCUGGAGCAGAGGGUGUAGUUACAAGAUUAAGGAGGGCCACCCAAUCUAGACUGAACUUCACACAGCUGAUGUCAGAGAUUGGCUUGCUGCACAAUGGGUGAAUGAAGUCACUUCAGGUUCGAUAUCACUCCUUCCUACCACAUAGCCCUUCCGCACCGGGCCUUAUGAAGAGAAACGUGUUAAUGCAUGCGGUGCACAUGAACUGACAUUCUCAGAUCGUCCACGCACUGAGGUUAUAAUUGUGGAAGCAGAGUGAAGAAAGGUAUUCUUUGAGGAAUAGGACCCCCUACUGAGUGGCUAUCAAACUGAAGAAUCUGCCUUUUGUACGAUUUCCAGCGACGGUAGAAUGCCAAUAUAUUAGUCCACAGGGGGACGUACAACUUCAGGGGAGACCAGACCCUUGUGCUCCGCCAACACACACUGUCUCUGAAGACGGGCUCCGGGGCGACGACAGCACAGCGGAGUUGGCCCAAGGCCCUCCUUCCCCUGGACUUCAUGACUGAUAACCCCACCUCUGGGGAGUCUGAUGUUCUGGUAUGACACGUAGGGACCACACUGGAAGUUACGCAGCGGAUGAUGUGUAAUUUGAUGUGAUCUAAUGGAGCGAGACAAACGUGGUUUGGGACUCUGCACGUAAGAAUGAGAAGACAGGGGAAAGAGGAGACCCCGGAAUGGCCUGCCCAAGCCCGCAUCACCAGUCCUCAGGAAGACGCUCACCUGUGGGCACAGCUGGUAGGCUCUGGGUCAACGAGCUGGGCCUGCUGGGACCUCAGGGGCCAUUGCUAGAGCUGUAAGAGCCUGAAUGGAAUGUGCUUGUCAGCGGCCCUUGUCAAGAGGGCUGCCAAGCCCUUGCUGGCGACAAUGAAUGGAUGUAUCUCUGAAAAGGUGAUGAAAACAGAUCAGUGACCAGAAUGGUCCAGAGAACUGCAAAAUGGCUGGAAGCCAGGAAGCUUUUAUGGGAUAAAGAAGAAGGAACAAGGAAGAGAAAAACAGAGAGUGAAUAGGGAACAAGGAAGUUGGUACAGAGCCCAGAGCUGGCUUCGUAUUGUUACCGAAACCGAAGUGGGUUCCUUCCUGGUGAGUUAAAUCAGACUCUCCACCAGAAGGAGUUGUCUCACAGUAAAGUAUAUUUGUGGCAAAUAGGAGACCACGAGGAAUCAUUUCCAGAGUUCCGGCGUCCCCGAAGAAAGGGAAGCAGGGACAUUUAUUUCGGAUGGGGAAUGAAUAUUCAAAAGGGAGAGAUGGGUAUUCGCUUGCGCAGGCUCAGUUAGAAGACAUUCUUCCACACACACUGCGGGUUACAGUGAUAAGGCCUAAGCUCCUCCUGGAGAGAUCUUAGCAUUAAAAAUAAGGCAAAGGUCAUAGGUGUAGCUCUUGUGGUGAGGCUUGGUCUGGUUCAGGGAGGGUGGUGAUGACAUCUCCUUAACAGAACAAAAGGAAAACGAACAAUUUGAAAAAGCAGUUAAAAUAUCCGCCCCACCCUUGAGUUCCUUGGGGUAACUAGCUGGUGACUGUUUGGGGGCUGGCUGAGUGGACACACUGCGUUUCUGGUCAAGAAGAACAUUCAGAGGAAUGUGAAAGUCUUCUAAAUUUCAUUUUGCUGACGUGGCUUUCUGGGCUGGAGUGGCUCCAUUCUAGGCCUAGAAAUGCAUUCCAGGAUCGCUUUAAUCCAACCUGCCGUCAUCUCUGUCUGAGACUCAUAACAGCUUGUGCAGGUUGGCCUGCAGUCACUCAUCAUCUCCCUCCCACCCCGUCGUCCCCCAUGGGUUGCAGUCAGGAUUCUGACUUUAAAAUGCAAAUGUGCAUGUUACUGCCCACUCUCCCUCAGCCUCCUAUCGUUCUUAGGAUAAUGACAAAAACUGAACUUGGCCAACAAGACUCUACGGGGCAGGUCCCCCAAUGCACUUCCCCUGCUCUUCCUGCUCCAGCCACAUGGGCCCCCGCAGCCUUUCCCAUGCUCCCUCCUUCACGCUUCCACUGAGCCCCUUGUAUGCUACUCCCUCUGAUGAGAACACUCACCAUCCUACCCUCCACGCCCAGUCACCUCCUUGUCUUCACAUCUCCCCUCCAUCAUCGCCUCCACAGAGCAGCCCAGCCUUCUCUGACCCCCUGAGGUCCGAUCUGCCUGUCAGAUGCUCUUAGAGCUCAAGGUCACAGUUCCAUUUUUAACUUACAGGCUUAUGUGAUGGAUGUCUUUCCCAGCAGACUGAAAGCUCAAAACAAAAACAGUCUAGCGUGCUUUUGUUUAUCAUUGUAUCCUUAGCACCCAGCAUAGUCACAUGUAGGCACUCAAUCAUUUGUUCAAUGAAAGUUGAAUGAAUGAUGUUUAAUUUUCACAAUCACCUGGAAAGGAAGCUAUUAUCCCCAUUUUACAAGUGAGAAAAAUGAAGAAGCUCAGGAAAGGUAAAUUACUUAAGUUGUAGAUAAUCAGAGACUCACCUAGUUUGUCUGAUUAUAAAGCUCACGUUCUUUUCUCUGUACUCAAUUUCUCAUGAUACUCAAAUGUCACAAAAUAUUCUACGCUAAAACUACAAAAGGUGGGGUCAGAGACAGCAUGGUGCUAAAUGAAGGUGAGAAGAGAGUCCUGUGGGAUGCUUGGCUCUCAAAACUGCACCCAAGGCACCUCUACUGAAAAACCUUUGGGCCAGUCCAGUGGCGCCACGGUUAAGUUCUUGUGCUCUGCUUUGGUGGCCCGGGGUUCGCUGGUUAGGAUCCCAGGCAUGGACCUAUGUAUUGCUUAUCAAGCCAUGCUCUGAUCUUACUCAGGGCUAAUCUUCCUCAAAAAAAAAAAAAAACCUCUUUACCACCCAAAAAGCAAUUGAUCUAUAUCAAAAGCAUGAUAUUAAUAACUUCUCAAUAUCAGUAACUCUUCAUCUAGUAAUUCUGUUUCUAGCAAUUUUAAGAAAAUUUUGAGAGGUACACAAGAAUUUAUGCACAGGAUGUUCAUCACAGUAAUAUGUUCAAACACAUAACUGUUAAAUUACAAUACAUCCUUAUAAUGAAUUUUUUAUGCAGAUGCUAAAUACAUAGUUUUAAAGAAUACUUAAAUGACAUGAGAAAAUGGUUAAAUAUAACACUCAGUGAAUGAAAGCGAGGUAGACUAAUAAAAGGACACUAGUAUGACCCCAAUUUUGGUGGCAUGUGUUUCUAUCUGUUCACUGUGAAGAAAAAUAAAUAGAAAUAUAGCAAUAUGUUAACUGGUUAUCUCUGAAUGGAGGAAAAAAUGUUAUUAAAAAGCAAUUGACCA